UGACGAAUUGCAUACCCGUGCUAGCAUGAAAAAAGUAGAAAAAUAAUUAUUCAAAAUGAAAGUACGUCGAGGCAACCUGGAUUUUCAGAAGACCCCCAAUCACAGUUCAGAGUUAUCCUAGGUUUACGAAGAAAUAAAACUCUCACUUAAAAAUGAAUCCAAGCACCGACAUAUAUAAGUAAGUCGGUAAGCAUGGAAACAGCAGCGGUACUGCUACUGACUGUACAUACAGUACCGGCACCAUAAAAGAGUUAUUCUAAUCUGAGGAGAACAAACUCAUCCAACAAAGUAAAUGAAAGAAAUAAAGACUUUGCACGAUCCCAAUUAUCUUUGGUAACCACAGGAUCAAUUUCAGUGUCAUAUCUGUCCCAUUGAAAUACAGAUCCAAGUGACACUCUACCAGGUCUUGGACAUAUACAAGUUCGUCCAGCGUAAUACAGAUUAGUUAUUUCCGGAGCUCUUAUAAGAAACCACUGUGCUUGGAAAAAGAACAAUGAAGAUUUACAAAGCUAACCCGUGACAAGGUCUGGAAAUUUCAAAUUGAACAGUAAAUUAUUUGAACAGGUUUAGACGAAUAUUUCAAAUCGCUGACAUCUUGAUUUACUGAACAUGUAGUAAAAACCAACAGCUUAAGAAAUAAUUACAAACUGUCACAUAGUAGUCAUAUGCACUGUUUGGAAAUUGUUAAAUUCAAUA